GGAGGAAAGUAGGGGAUCGCAAGACCUUGCGCUAAAGGAGCGGCCGAUGUCUGAUUAGUUAGUUGGUGGGGUAAAGGCCUACCAAGGCAACGAUCAGUAGCUGGUCUGAGAGGACGAUCAGCCACACUGGGACUGAGACACGGCCCAGACUCCUACGGGAGGCAGCAGUGGGGAAUUUUGGACAAUGGGCGAAAGCCUGAUCCAGCCAUGCCGCGUGAAUGAAGAAGGCCUUCGGGUUGUAAAGUUCUUUUAGUUGGAAAGAAAAAAUUAUGAUGAAUAAUCAUAAUUCAUGACGGUACCGACAGAAAAAGCACCGGCUAACUACGUGCCAGCAGCCGCGGUAAUACGUAGGGUGCAAGCGUUAAUCGGAAUUACUGGGCGUAAAGGGUGUGCAGGCGGCCUUGUAAGUCAGAUGUGAAAGCCCCGGGCUUAAACGCCUUGGGA
rnacentral:rRNA from 1 species